ensembl:snoRNA Gm22469 predicted gene, 22469
CUUUCCCAUAGAGGUGUUGUGGGUGUGACUGCUGUGUCACAUGUAUAUAAGUAUAUGGCAGAGAGGAGAGAGGCUGUGUCUAUGUUUUAGUGUUCUGACCUAUGAAGAUCUGAAUGAUUGGUAGGCUAACAUU